CAGCAGCCGCGGUAAUCCGUAGGUGGCAAGCGUUGUCCGGAAUUAUUGGGCGUAAAGGGCUCGCAGGCGGUUUCUUAAGUCUGAUGUGAAAGCCCCCGGCUCAACCGGGGAGGGUCAUUGGAAACUGGGAAACUUGAGUGCAGAGGAGGAGAGUGGAAUUCCACGUGUAGCGGUGAAAUGCGUAGAGAUGUGGAGGAACACCAGUGGCGAAGGCGACUCUCUGGUCUGUAACUGACGCUGAGGAGCGAAAGCGUGGGGAGCGAAUAGGAUUAGAUACCCCAGUAGUCCCUGUCUCUUAUAC
rnacentral:rRNA from 1 species